rnacentral:rRNA from 1 species
UGAGGAAUAUUGGGCAAUGGGCGAAAGCCUGACCCAGCAACGCCGCGUGGGUGAUGAAGCUCUGAGGAGUGUAAAACCCUGUUAGGAGGGAAGAAAAGUCCAUUUCAUGGAUUUGACGGUACCUCCAGAGAAAGCUCCGGCUAACUCCGUGCCAGCAGCCGCGGUAAUACGGGGGGAGCAAGCGUUGUUCGGAUUUACUGGGCGUAAAGAGCGUGUAGGCGGGACAAUAAGUCAAAUGUGAAAUUUUUCGGCUUAACCGAAAACAUGCAUUUGAUACUGUUGUUCUUGAGUGCGAAAGAGGGAAGUGGAAUUCCUGGUGUAGCGGUGAAAUGCGUAGAUACCAGGAAGAACACCAGUAGCGUAGGCGGCUUCCUGGUUCGUAACUGACGCUGAGACGCGAAAGCGUGGGGAGCAAACAGG